GACGAACGCUGGCGGCGUGCCUAAUACAUGCAAGUCGAGCGGACUUUCAAGAAGCUUGCUUUUUGAAAGUUAGCGGCGGACGGGUGAGUAACACGUGGGCAACCUGCCUGUAAGACGGGGAUAACUCCGGGAAACCAGGGCUAAUACCGGAUAAUAUCUUUCUUCGCAUGAAGGAAGGUUGAAAGGCGGCGCAAGCUGCCGCUUGCAGAUGGGCCCGCGGCGCAUUAGCUAGUUGGUGAGGUAACGGCUCACCAAGGCGACGAUGCGUAGCCGACCUGAGAGGGUGAUCGGCCACACUGGGACUGAGACACGGCCCAGACUUCUACGGGAGGCAGCAGUAGGGAAUCUUCCGCAAUGGACGAAAGUCUGACGGAGCAACGCCGCGUGAGCGAAGAAGGUCUUCGGAUCGUAAAGCUCUGUUGUCAGGGAAGAACAAGUACCGUUCGAAUAGGGCGGUACCUUGACGGUACCUGACCAGAAAGCCACGGCUAACUACGUGCCAGCCGCCGCAGUAA
rnacentral:rRNA from 1 species